UGGGGAAUAUUGCACAAUGGGCGAAAGCCUGAUGCAGCAACGCCGCGUGAGCGAUGAAGGCCUUCGGGUCGUAAAGCUCUGUCCUCAAGGAAGAUAAUGACGGUACUUGAGGAGGAAGCCCCGGCUAACUACGUGCCAGCAGCCGCGGUAAUACGUAGGGGGCUAGCGUUAUCCGGAAUUACUGGGCGUAAAGGGUGCGUAGGUGGUUUCUUAAGUCAGAGGUGAAAGGCUACGGCUCAACCGUAGUAAGCCUUUGAAACUGGGGAACUUGAGUGCAGGAGAGGAGAGUGGAAUUCCUAGUGUAGCGGUGAAAUGCGUAGAUAUUAGGAGGAACACCAGUUGCGAAGGCGGCUCUCUGGACUGUAACUGACACUGAGGCACGAAAGCGUGGGGAGCAAACA
rnacentral:rRNA from 2 species